rnacentral:lncRNA from 1 species
GGUGCACGCACGCACGUCGCUUAAUGAGUGUAAUUAUCUUGAACGCGACGUUAAACCCCCUUCCACCUCACCUCACCUCACCUGUACAUAUUUGUAGGCUUACCACUGACCAUGUAUUUUCAGUUUCAGUUUGUAUCAUAAUAACAAACCAACUUUUCUUCCAACUCUUUAAAAUCUAUUUUCUAUCAGUACACAUGUAAAUAUUUACAUGGCUGAAUAAUUUUCACAGUUAUGAUGCAUAUAAAUAGUUAUAUUUGAACCAGGAAUAAUUUGUUGUAUACACAUGAUGUUAAUGUAGUGUUUGCUGUAAAUUGUCUAUAUGUGUUGACUGUGGUGUUUUGUCAAUGUUGUACACCACUCUGGCAGUCAGUGUGUAACUACAAUAAAUUGUCAGAUAUUUUCACCUGAUUUUAACCACUUAGAUUUGUAAAUAGAGAACAAGAAGUAAACUACCUUUAUGAACAAUUAUACUUUAUUUGAGUUUGGAAGCUGUAGUGUCAGUGUAACCAGUGUGAAUCAUUGAUCAUAGUGUAAAUCACUGGUUUGUCAGGUCCAGACUAUUUACACAACUGCUGUCAUGUAGCUGGAAUAUUGCUGAGUGCAGCACUAAACAAUAACUUCAACUGAAGAAGUGUGUUAUCAAGGGGGUAAGAUUGACUUUUACUAAUGGGUGCCCUAAAGGAAGUAUAUGUUAAUAAAUCAAUCCUGUUUGAAUUAAUGAAUUGUUUAAUACGCAUUACUUAGAAGUUGACGGAUGAAAAAGUAGACACAAUUUAUGGAUAACGACUUCUUUAUUUACAGUAAAGGCGACGUUUCAGUAUAUGCAAAAUUUUUCAAAAAAUUGUUUUAUGGGAAAAAACCCAGUUGCGCUUCAUGCGCGCUGCCCGGUUACACCUCAUGGCGGGAAUCAAUACAUCACUUAAAAGAUAUGACGUAACGGUGACGUCAUCCACGUUAGCGUCAUCCACGUCAGCUUUCUGAUUAUCGCGCAUCUCCGCCUGGAUAGCCGCCCGCUCCGGACGUGUUUUGCCCUGUCUCAUUUUAGCAACUUAAAAUCAACGUUUCAGUAUAAAUCUUUAUACCAUUGUCAAGCUAGCCUACAAUGGUAUAAGGAUCUAUACCGAAACUUCACCUUUACUGUAAAUAAAGAAGUUGUUAUCCAUAAAUUGUGUCUACUCUAUUUGAAUUAAUAAAGAAACCACGAACUCCAACUAAGGGAGGAGCGUUGGUGUAAGAUCGUCCAUUAUGUUUUGUUGUCUAGAUCGUUGACCCAUGUUGGAUUAUUUGAUUGUUCACUUGAUGGUAUCAUUGUUUGGAAUAUAUACCUAUAUUGUCCCUUAAUAUGAUCAUCAGGAAAUGGUAACUAAUGUUCUUUUUUCAAUGUACAUGUAGACAUCUGAUGUCUGAUAAGUGGGUCUCAUUAGCUCACCUGUUUGAAAGUCAAGUGAGCUUAUGUCAUGCCUCAUGUCCUGUGUCCAGCAACUGUCAAACUUUUAAUUACAUAUUCAGGUGAGCUACAGUGCCCUAGCACCAUUUUGAUAUCAUUGAAGCAUCUGAUAUCAUGAAUGGCCAUGAUGGUGGUGGGAAGGGAUAUCGAUUUGGGUGGCAGGAGGUUGAUUGGCAGCGGUAGACAGAAACAUUUUUAGUCCACUAGUCAUGAUGAUAACAUAUAGCAAAACACUUAAAAAUGGCAAAUUUCUCCUAGUUCUUUAUGAUACCUUAACUAUUGGCAGUUUGGCAAGGACUACAGGACUAGUGCCAAUUUCUAUCGCUGAUUGGUAUAAAAAUAUAUUGGUUUCGCCUAAUGCGGAUUCAUGUUUUGGGUAGCCUGAAGUUGUUAGGAGGGACAAUAUAGUUUGAAGAAAAUAUAUGGUAUUACUCUUUCAAGUGGAGGAUGUUUAGUAUUUUUAUAGUUAUGUUUAUUAUUAUGUAUUUAUGUCUAAGAAUAGUUUGUUUUAUGUAAAAAGUGUGCAGUGGCAGACUAUAUACGAUGUGUAUGUAAACUAUAUAUAUAUGUAAUUUAUUUCAUCAAUUAUCUAAAAACUUAAUACACAUGUAGUUACUUUUAUUUCUUAUUGUUUUUUAAGUUGUAUCUGUUUAGUUCUCCGAUCAAUUAAAGAUGGAUCUGGCGAAUAUAAAGAAAUGUGUUUAAUUUAAUCUAAUUUAUUUUAAAAUAAACACUAUUCUUAUUUUAAAAUAAAAACUUCUUUUUUAUUUUGUGAUUGUGGCUUUUGGCUCCAGUCAGUUGAAUGUGUAAACCGAAAACUAAAUGUGUCCGAUAUUCAGCUUCAUUGCUGAAUUUCACUAAGUGAAUGUUGACUAACCCUUGGUCUCAGUUCCUGAUACAGCAACAGACCCACAACCACUCUUGUAUUAUGUAAUCUGUAUAUCUUGAAGGUUCUAUUUAUGAUUCACCACAGUGCAUGCAUGCAUGCAGAUUGUAAAUAACUUUUGGUUUGGCUUUGGAUGUUAAUUGUAAUGUUAUUAUCAUGUACCAUGGUCAAGAAGGUCAAACAUGUGAAGGUCAGACAUGUGAAGGUCAAACAUGUGAAGGUCAAACAUGUGAAGGGCAGACAUGAAGGAUCCUGUAGUGUACAAAGUUGACCCGGGUGAGCAUGCAGCACUGGUUACGAUUAUUUUAUCACACAUUCAAAGGAGAACCAACCAUAUUUGUUAGAGAAUCAGAUAUCAUGCAUAGGAUGGCAUUGACAUUAGGCGGCAAUUAGCACUGAAUACUUCAAUAUUUCAGUCUUUAUUUUAAAGUAAUGUAAUAUGUUUGUCUAUUAAAUUUGACCCUUAUAAGUUAAGGAAGAAGUCAUGGGGUCUCUCAUAACCCAGUGUUAUAAACCUUAAAGACCCCAGCAAUCCUUAAUUUCAAACACAGCUUACAGCAAUCUCAUAAAAUCAGAUUUUUGUGCUCACUACUGCUACCAAGGCUUAGCACUAUAUAUGAGUUUGAGGUGAUGGGCUCAACAGAAUGUCCAAGUGCCAGUGGCCUUUCAAACCAGUUGAGUGAUGCCAUGUAUGUGAAACUGUCAAGUGUAGGAUGUAAUCUUGUAAUGUUUAUUUAUUUAUGUUUGUCAAUGCUUUUUUAAUGCAUUUUGACCAUGAAGUUGAUAUUUGACAAAAGUAAAUCAGGAAAGUACCUGAUCCUGAAAACACACGUUAUAUUUGGCAUUGGAAUGAAUUCAACUCUCCUAGUUACAUAUGUAUGAGGGGCGGUGGGGUAGCCGAGUGGUUAAAGUGUGCGCUCAUGCUGAAGACCCAGGUUCGUAUCCCCACAUGGGUACAAUGUGUGAACCUAUUCCUGGUGUCCCCUGACGUGAUAUUGCUGGAAUAUUGCAGAAAGCGGCGUAAAACCACACUCACACAUGCAUGUUUGUUUUGAGUCCCAGAUUUCAUGGCCAAGGUUUCUGUUUGUUUGUUUCUGGUUUCAGACGACCGUGUUUCAGUUGUUGUUAUUUUGUACCUGUAGCAGUAGCACAUGUAUAUUUGUUCCCAAGUGUCAGUUGACAAAGAUGGCUUUAAAGUUACGGAAACAAAUGUAAUCUUUUUAACCUUUACCAUACAGAGUGGUAUGGCAAUUAAUGUUGUUUGUUACGUAGUAUUAAACCGGUGCCAAGCUGUUGGCAGCUGCAGGAAAACACAAUUGGCUCACCUUUGACCUUGCUGCUAGUAAAGGAACCUGUUAAUCAAAGUGAUCUCAGUGAAAGGCUUUACCCAGGUCUGUCUCAUUUCCAGGGACCUCUCAGGUAUAAAUUUGGGGGAUCCAAGACAUGCCUCACUUGGGUUCCAAGAAUUUUGGCUUCAUAUCGUUUGACCUGGUCCUAGUCAAGCCUAUUACGGAUGGAGAUUUCAAUGUUAAACUGGAGCCAAUCAAUAAUUAACACUCUGAACUGAGCAUAUUUCUUCUCAAAACAGAAAUGUAGGUUGUAUGUCUACAAGUUUGAUAUAUUAUAUGAAUCAAAUAGUCUUGCAUCCCACAGGAUGUAAAAUAAUUUUGUUUCCAUCCAAUCACAAUUUGUAUGUGUGUAAAUUGUGUCUGGUAAAACACUAAUAUGCUGUGACAAACGUAACUCCUUUACUUAAACAUAGGCUUAUGAUGUUCAUAGUACUAAGACAUUCUAACUCCUAUACUUGAACAUAGGCUUACGAUAUUCGUAGUACUAAGACAUCCUAACUCCUUUACUUAAACAUAGGCUUACGAUAUUCGUAGUACUAAGACAUCCUAACUCCUAUACUUGAACAUAGGCUUACGAUAUUCGUAUUACUAAGACAUCCUAACUCCUUUACUUAAACAUAGGCUUAUGAUUUUCAUAGUACUAAGACAUUCUAACUCCUAUACUUGAACAUAAGCUUACGAUAUUCGUAGUACUAAGACAUUCUAACUCCUUUACUUGAACAUAGGCUUAUGAUGUUCGUAGUACUAAGACAUUCUAACUCCUAUACUUAAACAUAGGCUUACGAUAUUCGUAGUACUAAGACAUUCUAACUCCUUUACUUAAACAUAGGCUUAUGAUGUUCGUUGCACUAAGACAUUCUAACUCCUUUACUUAAACAUAGGCUUAUGAUGUUCGUUGCACUAAGACAUUCUAACUCCUUUACUUAAACAUAAGCUUACGAUAUUCGUAGUACUAAGACAUUCUAACUCCUAUACUAUAACAUAGACUUACAAUAUUCGUAGUGCUAAGACAUUGUAACUCCUAUACUAUAACAUAGACUUACAAUAUUCGUAGCACUAAGAUCACUUUGAGGAAUAUACUGAAUUCCUGAAUUUGCAUUUCUGUUUUAUUUGCUGUUUAUAGUGUAGUUCCGUCCAACUGAGUAUAUUCUGCUAAGUCAAACCUGAAGCUACCAAUUGCCAUUUUUACUUUUUGGAUAGGAAAGAUGUUAACAUUCUUUCCUUGUUGUCUCAAAACCGAUAUCUUUAACAGUUUGCAUUUAAUGGCAACAUAAAACAUGCAUAUAAUACAGUUUUUUAUUGCUUAUACAUUCAAACACUACUACAUCAUCUUAAGAUAUGUUCUCCGUUGUGUCAAACCUCGAAGUAUUUACGUAGGUCCCUUCAACUUCGACACAACGCGUAUAACUGUAUGUAUAUAUUGUGACAAGACAUAAAGAAACAAUAGAUGUUUUUGUUUCUAAGGCAUAACAAAAUGUAAGAGGCCUCUUUCCUUCUCUAUUGAUAUCCUUUUUUUCAUUGGGUCCUCAUGAAAUACAAUCUCACUGAAAUCAGAUCUUAGUUCUUGCUGCCGCUAAACAAAGAUCUGAGGACAUCCCAUUACGGGUCACGUCACGGGACAAAAAAAUAACAUGUGGAAUCUAAUAUCACUAUAAUUCAAACUUUGGAAGAAAUAAUGACUGAUUUCCUAAGUUCAUAAUAUUUAAAUAUUUGAAUCAGUAACAAACAAAAAACUGAAACAGAAUCUGUUUGUUAAAACUAUAUUUGUAAAUUCACCUUUGUAUUUUGUUGCAGUGUUUGCUUUUAGUAUUUACAUAUUUUUAUAUAUCUAAAACUGUUAGAGCUUUUAUUGUUAAUGUAUAGUUUUACACUGUUUCUUAUAAUCAGUUUUCAUCUAUGUAUACUAUAUAUCUGAAUUAUUAUUACAAUCCUAAAAUAAUAAUAACACAUCAUGAAGUAAUCUUAACUAGUGAUGAUUGUAAAUAAUUAUUAAGAAUAUUUCUUGUGGAGGUCGAUGCUGAUGAAGUAGAAUGAAAAGGGAACCAUUUUGAAUGUGUACAAGCUGCACGGGAACAUAGACUUGUAUAGACGUUUUUGUAAAAUAAUUUUCUAUGAACAUGAAAAUAAUAUUUUUGUAUAAAGCAAGCAUGACAUGAAAUGUUUCUGUUUGAUUUCUUCAUUUAUAGAUCGUUUUUAGAAAGGAUAAAACAUCUAUACCUGUCCCUAUGCCAGAAACCUAUGAUUGUCGGUUCGAAUCCCGGUUCGCCUCGAUUAUGUUUCUAGGUUUGUCAGCACCAUACCUGUGCUCGUGGGUUUCACCAAAGUGGUAAACGUCUGAGACCUGCUUUCCUCCUAAAUUAAGCUGACACGCCAUGAUAUGACUGGAAUACUGUUAAAAGGGGCGUUAAACCCAACUCACUCACUCUAUACCUGUGCAGUAUUUAAAUUGAUCUAGAAUCCAUUGGUUCCCGCAGCAGGUUAGCGGCCAGGGUUCUGUUCCACUAAGCUAUCCCUGUGAUGUGAUAACAAUACCUCCAAUACUGUAACACAGGCUUACGAUAGUCAUAGCUCUAAGAUCGCUCUGUGGAACGGGGCCCAGGCGGCGGGCCGAAAAUGUACAAACUUGGGUGCGCAUUCUUAACAUCUUUUACGAAUGUAAAUAAACAUGGAGAAAUGUCCACAUACUGGAAGUUUUUUGGUCAAUAAACAUUAUUACAAAC